AUUUAUAUAGUUUAAAUAAAACCUUACAUUUUCACUGUAAAAAUAAAAUUCCUUUUUUUAUAAAUU
rnacentral:tRNA from 1 species